rnacentral:rRNA from 1 species
UUGGAGGGCAAGUCUGGUGCCAGCAGCCGCGGUAAUUCCAGCUCCAAUGGCGUAUAUUAAAGUUGCCGCAGUUAAAAAGCUCGUAGUUGAAUUUCGGGACUAAUAUGUCGGUCGUGCCUCGGUACGUACUGGUAUUUUUGGUUUCUCCCUUCUGACGAACCUUGAUGUCAUUAAUUUGGUGUCUUGGGGAAUCAGGACUGUUACUUUGAAAAAAUUAGAGUGUUUAAAGCAGGCUCACGCUUGAAUACAUUAGCAUGGAAUAAUGAAAUAGGACGUUUGAUACUAUUUUGUUGGUUUCUAGGAUCGACGUAAUGAUUAAUAGGGAUAGUUGGGGGCAUUAGUAUUCAGUUGUCAGAGGUGAAAUUCUUGGAUUUAUUGAAGACUAACUACUGCGAAAGCAUUUGCCAAGGAUGUUUUCAUUAAUCAAGAACGAAAGUUAGGGGAUCGAAGACGAUCAGAUACCGUCGUAGUCUUAACCAUAAACUAUGCCGACUAGGGAUCGGAUGAUGUUAAUUUUUUAAUGACUCAUUCGGCGCCUUACGGGAAACCAAAGUGUUUGGGUUC